UACGGAGGGUGCGAGCGUUAAUCGGAAUUACUGGGCGUAAAGCGCAUGCAGGUGGUUUGUUAAGUCAGAUGUGAAAGCCCGGGGCUCAACCUCGGAAGGUCAUUUGAAACUGGCAAACUAGAGUACUGUAGAGGGGGGUAGAAUUUCAGGUGUAGCGGUGAAAUGCGUAGAGAUCUGAAGGAAUACCAGUGGCGAAGGCGGCCCCCUGGACAGAUACUGACACUCAGAUGCGAAAGCGUGGGGAGCAAACAGG
rnacentral:misc_RNA from 1 species